UGCCGCGCCGGCGGCCGCGCUCCGCGCUGCGCCCGGGCUGCCCGCCGCACAACAGAAACCAUCCUCUUGAGCUCUCCUGCCACGGAGUGGCUGCUGUGGAGAACUGCCGGAAACCGUGCGCCUGGCCUCGGAUAACUCGGAAGGUUUGAGGCAGGUUUACUUCCCCGCCCUGUUGUGGUUAGUUGGAAGUACAAACCCACCCCCACCCCCCCACAGCCUCAGCUCCGGCUCCGUCCAGGCUCGCACAUCGACACAGUCCGGAGCCCAAGUUCCUCGGCUGUUCUUUUCUUUUAGGGGGAAAUAAACACUAAGAGCGAUGAGUUAGAUUUAUUCCAACGCUGCUGUUGUCUGUUAAACUGGGCACGGGAGCAGCAGGAGCGGCGGGUGCUGGUGUGAGGCGACAGGAGCCGCACAGAGCAGUGCGCCCGUCAGGGCUGCCAAGGCCGCCUCCGCUCCUUCGGCGGCCCUGCAGCGGUGCUGAGCAGCGCUGCGCUCUGUGCGCUCAGAGCCCGCUCUUAAAUGAGAAAUGGCAUUGCAUGGCACCGACGCCACUAGCGACUGCCGCAGCUGAAAGCAGAAACAACGGCUGUCAGGGAGUCGUCGGCCAAGGAGAGCAAUUCCUAUAGAUGUCAUCUAUGUUUAGCAAAUAUGUUGGGGAGCUGGAUGCUGAUGGAUUGACCAUCGGUGAUCAACCUUUCACUGUUAGACCACUGGUCCUAAAGAAGCACAGAACUGGGAGAAUUACCAAUUACAGAUUCUUUAGAUUAAGUUUGGGAAAGAAGCAUUUAUUGUUCUGAAGCUGCACUUCUGCUGCUGCUAAGCAGUUCAGGAAUACAAAAAGGAACACCCAGUAAUGGCAAGAAAUUUAGAAAAGAAGAAGUCAGCCAGAACUAUUUUAUGGAGAUUAGACCUGGGGACACCACAGACCUUUAGAUCUCCGUGAUAGGGAAGGAGUGUGCUAUUUACAAGAACGAUCGUUUCGCUGUGCAGCGCCACCUAGUGCACAGAGCUGCUGCUGCAUGCAGGAACAGCUGCGACGCUUGGCACGGCCGGGAGGGAUGAGGAGCCUUUCCCGGAUAGCUCAAACAACGUUACUCACAUCUUGAGAAAAAUAAGCUUUUUUAGUUCCAGCUUUCCUUCUCCAACAUAUGUGUAGUAUUUGCCUUUUCAUGACUUUAAAUUCAUUCCUGGCUGAAGUAUAGUCUACUCUUACUUUCUUGGAAGUAUGCAUAAUAGCUACGGGGCCAUUAUAUUACUACCUAUUGAUGCUUAAUGUGUUCUUUUUUUCAGCACAAGUCUAUGGUUGCUGUUUGCAGUAUAGGAGGCCACAAACUGGAACCCCACAUUUCCAAGGUGUUUCCAAACACCAAAUUUUUGCCACAUGGUAAUUUCUGUACUUUUUCCACAUGGUAAUUUCUCUCAUUUAUGGAAAUGAGGUAUGUAUACAAAGAAAGUAAUUUUGAAUUUAAGUGUAAUGUAACAUUUUCCUUUUUUUUCCCCCCUUAAGUGGUAAAGUAAAGAUGUAAGUAGUCCAAAUCUUCUGUUAUAAGUGUUUUGGCAAAGUUUCGGAGGAACCAAGCUCAAAAUUAUUACUUUCACGCAUUUUCACUGUUUUGCAGGGUUUGUACUAUUUCUAUCAGUGGUCUCAUUUAAAUUGUGAAACUUUCUAAAAUAAGAUCAUAAGAUAUUCAUCUUCUGUACCAUAAGUAGAAAUUGAUAUUUAGUGUGAAAAUCCUUCAUUUUAGGAUUUCAUUUUAGGUAUCUUCAGAGACUACUGAAGAUGCUGUUUGUAAAUCAGUUUUUGUUACAAAGAAAUCUCAAAUCGACAGUGAGAUGUUUCUUUAUAAAUGAUGUUCUGUGUUCAGUCAGUUUAGCCUAUGCACAGUAGUUUACAGACAAUCAUGAAAAUAAAUGGCACUUUUACACUUGAUGAAGUAGACAGGCACUCUCUUCAGAAAAUAUUAACUAAAAAGCAGUCUCUGCAGUGGCUCUGCCUCUAAGUAUAUGUAAUAAUUUAUGCUAUUUAUUUAACAGGUAUGGCUAUCUAGUGACAGAGGCACUUUAUUUAAAUUAUUAAAUCUUGAAGAUGAGAACAUUGUAAAAGCAAAUAUGUGUGUACAGUCAUUCAAUCACCUUCAUGAGAGAUAAGGGAAGCCUUUUCUUCCCUAAGGCAGGUGCAGAAUUUAAACCUGCUUUUGUCACAAUGUGUGGUAUGAUAGCCACACAAAAAAGCUCCUGCAUUAGCCAGUCUUCACACAUACUUGGUUAAUACUGUUUUACCAUAAACAUGUUCUCUACAGCAACAUUAAUUCUUCCUGUUAGUAAGUUCUGAGUGAAGUUCCACGUUAGAAUACUUGAUAAAGAGACAAGAUUUGUAGAAAGCAGUAGUAAUGUCCUUAAUUACUUGUGUAGUUGGCAGAAUCAAGCACAAUCUUUCACCUAAUUGAAGAGCAGCAGGCACCCAAUAAAGUAUUACAGUGAUACCAACACACAAACAAGGAAAGUGUAGUCUGUGACAGUGCUAAGCAUGAGCAGGCAUGCUUCAUUACUUGCUGAGAGGUCAUCAAAGGACAUAGCAAGCUCAUCAGUCAUAUACCAUAUAUUCCUUGUUCAUCUGCUACAGAAUGCAGAUGGCUGUAAUUAAAUAACUCGUGUAUUGUCACUGUAUGAAUUGAAUCAUGACAGAGACGGUCCUUUCUCCCCUUCUGUUUGUUUAAGUGUGCUAAGUGUAACAUAUUAGCAUAACAUUGGCUUAUAUAGAUGAUAUCAGGAAAGUAUAGAUUUAAUUCAGCUGUAUUUUAAUUCAUCUCUUCACUUGACAAAAAACAUCCUGUGUAAGGAGAGAACUCUUUAGAAGUCACUUUCUGUAACAGCAGAGUGAUUCACCAAUCCAAGAGCUGAUUUUAACUGACUGUUUUGGUACUAUAUUUUGCCAUGAAAGAGAAUAAAAUGUAUCAUUAUUUUAUGAAGAGGUUCUUUUCUUCCCCUUGCCAAUUUGCUCUGAAAGUGUUUCUUUAGGUGUAUACCAAAGCAAGAGAUCUGAUUGAAGUACUGAACCUCAAUUCUACUGUGUAUCAUCUUAAGCAGAACAACUUUUGCUUCUCUUCAUGUGAUUAUUUAUUUCUAAUUUGUUGUCUGUAUUUCAAUUGUGUAUGUUUGGAAAUACUUGCCAGAUCUGAGACUAAAAGCGUUGUCAGUUUGUACUGUGAUCAUUUGGGAGCUUUGCAUUUAACUAUUUUAAAUAAGUCAAAAUCUGAUAGGCUCGAAAUAAAGAAGCUAAAUGUUUUAAAAUCAA